CCUACGGGUGGCAGCAGUAGGGAAUAUUGCUCAAUGGGGGAAACCCUGAAGCAGCAAAGCCGCGUGAAGGAUGAAGGUCUUCGGAGUGUUAAACCCUUUUGAUAAAGAAGUUAAUGACGGUAUGUAAGGAAUAAGCACUGGCUAACUCCGUGCCAGCAGCCGCGGUAAUACGGAGGGUGCAAGCGUUACUCGGAAUCACUGGGCGUAAAGCGCGCGUAGAGGGGAUAGCAAGUCAGUUGUGAAAUCCUAUGGCUUAACCAUAGAACUGCAUUUGAUACUGUAAGUCUGGAGUAUGGUAGAGGUAGGUGGAAUUCGUGGUGUAGGGGUAAAAUCCGUAGAGAUCACGAGGAAUACUCAUUGCGAAGGCGACCUGCUAGACUAUAACUGACGCUGAUGCGCGAAAGCGUGGGGAGCAAACAGGAUUAGAUACCCGUGUAGUC
rnacentral:rRNA from 1 species